UACAGAGGGGGCAAGCGUUAUUCGGAAUUAUUGGGCGUAAAGGGCGCGUAGGCGGCCUGGCAAGUGGAAGGUGAAAUCCCUCGGCUUAACCGAGGAACUGCCUCCCAAACUGCUUGGCUUGAGACCGGGAGAGGUGAGUGGAAUUCCCAGUGUAGCGGUGAAAUUCGUAGAUAUUCGGAAGAACACCAGUGGCGAAGGCGGCUCACUGGACUGGUAUUGACGCUGAGGUGCGAAAGCGUGGGGAGCAAACAGG
rnacentral:rRNA from 1 species